UUUUUUUUCUUUUGUUUUCUCUUUUUUGUUUCUUCGUCUUCUCCGUCCAAAGUUUUCUCAACUCUCUGGUUAACGCCGUGUUCUUCGUGAGUGACUCCAGGCUUCUUCCUAUUCCUAGCCAAAACCGCUGCCGAGUAAAUCGCCGCCAUUCUUCCCGAAGACGAGGAAGUUGAUCGGAGCUAGCUCUUUCAAGACGUUGAAGGAGAUCGAGAUCUCGUGGAUGUUUUGCUGUGGGGUUAUGGUGGAGGUCGCGUAGUUGACGAUGGCUUGGAGCUGGAUCGGUGUCGCUGAGUAAUCAGCUGCUGCGGCCACCGAUCGGCUUUUGGCGCUUGCGGUGGAGCAGAGGAAGAGCGCGUCGUCGGCUGAUCGUAUGAAGGAUGUGAAGAGUAGAGCGCUUCCGAUAAGACCGGCGAGUAAAACAAAGGUGAUGAUCGUAUGAAGGAUGUGAAGAGUAGAGCGCUCUCGAUUCUGUUGAACGUAAUGUGAGGCAAGCAAGUACAUCACUGCAGCAAGGGAAAAGAAUGAUUGUUGCGGGCUUUGCUGACUCGGGAUCGAGCCAAGUUUUUUGGCUGCUGAAAGAGAGUGAGGCAAGCAAGUAGAUCACUAUAGUUUGUUCACGCUGAGGCCUCACUGAUGCCAAACCUUUAUAAAUUAUAUACAAAUGGGAAUUGAUAAUGAUGCUAAUAAGUCACCCAAAUCGAUAGCUGUUAGCAACUCCAGUCAGGCAAUUGAUUGGUUGGAUGCUGUAUUUCCAGAUUUGACUGAAUAGGGAACUAGAGGUGAUAAUAAAGUGGUACUGAAAGCUCAUCCUUAUGCUUUGCUUGAUGCAUCAUUGGCUUUACAGAAUGAAUAUACUCUCUCCACGACGAUGGUGUUGAUUCAACAGCCUUACACUCCCUUCCCUUCACAAGUUCAGGCCACGGGAAGAGAUGAAGCUCUCAAAACGCCAUCUGUUCACACCGUGCUAAGUACAUGCCAAGAAGAGUCCGACGUAUCAUCUAUGUUGGACAAAACUACACCGUCACAGAGGGGAGUUCAAGCCGCGAAACCAACGAGACAGAAGACACCCCACAACGAGAUUAAGGUGUGAUAUAUAUGUUUCAUGUAAAUACCCGUGAUAAUCUAGUUUAAAUUCUAUUCCAUGCUCCAUUAUCUACUCAUAUACGUUUUUCAUCUUGUCAUUGUUUGGUUGUCGACAUAGAUGAUCCUUGUUUGCAUUACCUUUUAGUAGUCAACUAGGUAGUUUUGGACUAGCUUUUUGUUUGAUUUGUUGGUUCAAGUUAUAGAGAUCCUAUCUAUUGAUGACUUUUAUGUGUGUAGUACUUCUCAUUUGGAUUGAAGAAAGUUUCAUUUUGUAACAUUCAAGCUUUGGAGAUGAUCCCAAAGUCUCAUUCAA